UACGUAGGGACCGAGCGUUGUCCGGAUUCAUUGGGCGUAAAGAGCUCGUAGGCGGCUGCUCAAGUCGAAUGUGAAAACUCGAGGCUCAACCUCGAGCCUGCAUUCGAUACUGGAUGGCUUGAGACCGGAAGAGGUAAGUGGAACUGCGAGUGUAGAGGUGAAAUUCGUAGAUAUUCGCAAGAACACCAGUGGCGAAGGCGGCUUACUGGUCCGGAUCUGACGCUGAGGCGCGAAAAGCGUGGGGAGCAAACAGG
rnacentral:rRNA from 1 species